GAUUAACGCUGGCGGCGUGCAUAACACAUGCAAGUCGAACGAUGAAACUUUACUGACUUCUUCGGAAUGAUUUAAAGCGGAUUAGUGGCUAACGGGUGAGUAACGCGUGAGUAACCUGCCUUACACAAGGGGAUAGCCUCUGGAAACGGAGAAUAAUACCCUAUGAAACCAGACAAUCGCAUGAUAAUCUGGGCAAAAUGUUUAGUGGUGUAAGAUGGACUUGCGUCUGAUUAGCUAGUUGGUGAGAUAAAAGCUCACCAAGGCAACGAUCAGUAGCCGGCUUGAGAGAGUGUCCGGCCACACUGGGACUGAGACACGGCCCAGACUCCUACGGGAGGCAGCAGUGGGGAAUUUUGCACACUGGGGGAAACAAUGAUGCAGCGACGCCGCGUGAUUUAGAAGGCCUUAGCGUUGUAAAAAUCUUUUGUAUCGGAAGAAAAUGACAGUACUAUAAGAAUAAGGACCGGCUAAUUACGUG
rnacentral:rRNA from 1 species